GGGAAUAUUGGACAAUGGGCGCGAGCCUGAUCCAGCCAUGCCGCGUGAGUGAUGAAGGCCCUAGGGUUGUAAAGCUCUUUCACCGGUGAAGAUAAUGACGGUAACCGGAGACGAAGCCCCGGCUAACUUCGUGCCAGCAGCCGCGGUAAUACGAAGGGGGCUAGCGUUGUUCGGAAUUACUGGGCGUAAAGCGCACGUAGGCGGACUAUUAAGUCAGGGGUGAAAUCCCGGGGCUCAACCCCGGAACUGCCUUUGAUACUGGUAGUCUAGAGUCCGGAAGAGGUGAGUGGAAUUCCGAGUGUAGAGGUGAAAUUCGUAGAUAUUCGGAGGAACACCAGUGGCGAAGGCGGCUCACUGGUCCGGAACUGACGCUGAGGUGCGAAAGCGUGGGGAGCAAAC
rnacentral:rRNA from 1 species